UAGAUUUUUCAUUUCUCCCUGAUUCUUUCUCUAUGAUGUUUGCUCUGAUAGUUCUUUCGACUUUCAAUUCUUUGAGAUUCAGUAACUAAAAUUUAGUAUGUCGAGGAAAUUGGUUCAUCAUAUUGGCUGUUAUGGCCUUCCAUACGUUAAAGGUAUGAAUGUAAUUGAAUUUUCGACAGGUAAAGUAUCUUUUUUCUUUCUUUGUAAUUUCAGUGGAUUUGUCCCUGCUAUUGUUCUUGCUCUCAAGUUUCAAGGGUGUUUGCAUUUUUGUUGCUGCGUGUUGAAGCUGUAGAUAUUUAAAUGUCAUUGGAAAUGAUAACGACAAAGGAAUAGGUGAUGAUACUAAUUUUAUUUUUGUAUUUUUUUCCGACACAUCUCCAAUUUUUUUAUCCUUUGAAUGUAUAUACUUAUUCUUUGUGUUGCACAUAUUAUCUUUGUCUAAUGAAUUAUCUGUAUGCUCGGAACAAAUAUUGCGUGAUAACAUUUUAAAUUAGGUUUUUUUAAUAGUAAUGUCACUCUUCCUCAAUACUAUAAAAACUAAAGAAAAUCAAGUGAUACUUCUAAUAAAGUGGAACAAUGUCACAUUGGAGAAGAAAAUAGUAGGUUUAGAAAUAAAGAGAAUAAGAAUAAAAAAUGGUAAUUUACUCAUAAAGUGGUUAUGGAGAUAUAUUGUAAAAAAAGAGACACUUUAGAGAAGGGUGAUUAUAAAAGUAUGAAGUAAAAAAAGAUGAAUGGUGCAUAAAUAAGUUAUGGAGCAAUUUGAAAAUGAUGUAUGGAAAGCAUAUAAGAAGAAUGUGGAUCUUUUUGAACUAAUGUAUGCUCUGUUUCAGAUGAUGAAAGCAAAAUAGUAUUUUGGCACGACAACUGAUGAGGUCACCUACUUUUAUUUUGAGGUCUUACGGAUUUAAUUCCUUAAUGAUUAGAAAACUUUUGAUAUACGUGAAAAUUAAUACUUUUGGAUGCUUGCUCGCUUUUAUAAUUAUAACUCGACUUAGCUAAUGGCAGAAAGCAACCAAGGUUUAGAGACAAAACAACAAGCAGACUAUGGGAAGGGUUGAUUUCAGAUUCUCUUAAUUUUCAAGUCCUUUAGGUACAAUUUCAUAGUGCGUAAAUAAAAUAUAAAGAAAAAGGGCAACUGCGACAUUUUAUUGUUGUUAGCAUUGGUAUCUAAAUACAUGUGAAUCUGAGAAGAAAAUGUCGACUGUGCGAGGAUUAUGAGAUAAAAGCACAUUCUUAUGUUUCUUAAAGUUAAAAUCAAAAAACAAUUGCUGAUUUACACGUUUCAAGAUGAAGCAAACUCAAAGCCCCGUUCCUAUUCUUACUGUUGAUAAAUGUCUAUUAUAGUGUGUAACAUCAUAACCAUGAAAAAUAAGAGAAAUGCAGUAUAUUGUUCAUUUAUGCUAUUCUUACAUCUAGAUUGGAAAAAAAAAACUAUGCUACUUCUAUCUCACUGUACUUUUCAUUUAAUAUGAGCUAGAAGGAGAUGAUCUACGUGGAAUUAGCAGACAACCAAUUGAGUUCAAUAAUCAAGUUAGCUAUGUCUAAGAUUUGAGAAUUAAAUGAGCAAUUUUGUUAGUCGUUAUUGGUGUUAUAUUAUUUUUCAUGUAUGGAAGCCUAAUUGUCUCAAGAAUAACACCAGUGUAUAUAGUUAUGUUGUUAUAGGUCCAGACAAACAAUUAUUUCCUUAAUUGAGGAUUGGAGUAAAUAUUUUGGCUAA